rnacentral:rRNA from 1 species
AUUGAACGCUGGCGGUAUGCUUAACAUAUGCAAGUCGAACGGCAGCACGGUAUGUAGCAAUACAUAUGGGUGGCAAGUGGCGGACGGGUGAGUAACGCGUAGGAAUCUGCCCUCAAGCGGGGGACAACCCGAGGAAACUCGGGCUAAUACCGCAUAAACUCGGAAGAGAAAAGCUGGGGUAACCUGGCACUUGAGGAGGAGCCUGCGUCUGAUUAGCUAGUUGGUAGGGUAAAGGCCUACCAAGGCGAUGAUCAGUAGCUGGUCUGAGAGGAUGACCAGCCACACUGGAACUGGGACACGGUCCAGACUCCUACGGGAGGCAGCAGUGGGGAAUAUUGGACAAUGGGGGAAACCCUGAUCCAGCAAUACCGCGUGUGUGAAGAAGGCCUUCGGGUUGUAAAGCACUUUAGUUGGGGAGGAAGGUUAGCAGUUUAAGAGAUGGCUAAUUAGACUGUACCCAAAGAAUAAGCACCGGCUAACUCUGUGCCAGCCGCCGCGGUAA